ensembl:snRNA U6 U6 spliceosomal RNA
GUGCUCACUUUGGCAGCACAUAUACUAAAAUUGGAAUAAGAAGAUUAGCAUGGCCCCUGUGCAAGGAUGACACACAAAUUUGUGAAGUGUGCCAUAUUUUU